rnacentral:rRNA from 1 species
CAGCCGCCGCGGUAAUACGGAGGAUCCAAGCGUUAUCCGGAAUCAUUGGGUUUAAAGGGUCCGUAGGCGGUCUUGUAAGUCAGUGGUGAAAGCCCAUCGCUCAACGGUGGAACGGCCAUUGAUACUGCAGGACUUGAAUUAUUGGGAAGUAACUAGAAUAUGUAGUGUAGCGGUGAAAUGCUUAGAGAUUACAUGGAAUACCAAUUGCGAAGGCAGGUUACUACCAAUUGAUUGACGCUGAUGGACGAAAGCGUGGGUAGCGAACAGGAUUAGAUACCCCGGUAGUCCCUGUCUCUUAUAC